AUGUUUUAAGUAAAAAAAAAAAAUUUAAUUAUUAAAAUAUCAAUUCUUAAUAACUGUUCACAUCUGAUAAUGUUCAAACAAGAAUCCUCAGAAAUUGCAAAUCCAAGUUUUCCAGUUUGUCAUUUUUUUCCUAUCAGUAAAUAAUUCUUGAAG